ensembl:lncRNA
UCAAAAUUUUAGCUAGCAGACGUCACCAUGAAUUAAGUCGACACUCAAAUCCUUUUCAAUCAUAUGUCAUAUGAAGAGAUAAAACAUCUCGGUGCUCAUCGACCAUUGAACAUAAACAUUACACAACAAGUUGAAAAUCGCAAAUUCAACUAUGAGUGAUUUGGGAAGGAAUCAGUGGCUAUCUAAUCCGCCGCGCCACUUUCCUCUUCAAGCACAUCACAACCACGAGUGCAGGGUAACAUGUUGGUUGUCCAAUACCAAAAAUGCAAGAAGUUCAUGAAGUUGCAGCCUGUGUUCUCUUAUGGAGAUGUCAUCAAUCAAGGUGAAUAUAUGAACUCUCUGAUGUAUUUUCUUAAUUGUACCCUUGUGCUUGAUUUGGGUCAGACCUAUUCUGUUGCCACCUUGGUGAUGUAUCUCUCUGUAUUCUGUUUAGUCUCUCUUUUUGAAGUCCAAAAUAGAUUUGGACUGCCCUCUGCAGCACAAAUGCACAUUUUUGAUGAUUCCCAAACUGAGGUUGAGGAGGAUGUCCUGCUGGACCUGAUUGAGGCCAUUCCAGACCUCACAAUCAAAGAUCUUGAUGAAGGUAUUUUUCUACAGCCUCUCAUAUAAAUAUUGAGUAACAUGAAUGAUAGAUUGAUUGCUUUGAUCCAUUGUUUGUGCUCAGACAACCAGGACAUCCCGUGGUCAUUUUUAUAGUGGUGUGCAACUUGCAGGAUAAUUACAAGAUUUAAACCACGAGAGGGGGACUGUCAUGACUCUCGCUCCUGGGUGAGGAUCAAAUACAGCCCCCACCCCCUCUCUCCCACCAGAGAGGAAGGGGGGGAAGUUGGGCUGGUUUUAUGUCUUAAUGACCGGUCGUAAACGUUCUCUCUCUUGCCGUUGCAGUAUUGAGAAUGGAAUGUCUGAGUGUUACAACAGAGAAAGACUGCAAUACUUAAACAUCAGAAGAUUGGACAUUGAAACAAUAUUUCUAACAUAAAGGAUGUAGGAAAUGGUUGGUGUGGAUCUAAAUAAUAAAUCCUCUCAAAAGUUGAUUGUUUUGUGAUAUCAUUAAGGAUGGUAAAACUAAAUGAUCUCUGAAAGUGUAUGCAUUCAAGGGACCAGGUUUGCAUCUAAAUGUUGUGAAACUGAUAUGAUUAAGUAUAAGAAUACUUUUGUGAAGAUGAAAUUAUAUUUUACCCUUCUAAAUGAGAACUGCCUGCAGCUCUGCAUGUAACGUAGUCUAGGACACUCGAACGAAGACAAAAAAAUGUUUUUCACUCUUAACCUUUUUGGGAUAGGGGGCAGCAUUUUCACUUUUGGAUGAAUAGCAUGCCCAGAGUGAACUGCCUCCUACUCUGUCCUAGAUGCUGAUAUAUGCAUAGUAUUAAUAGUAUUGGAUAGAAAACACUCUGAAGUUUCUAGAACUGUUUGAAUGAUGUCUGUGAGUAUAACAGAACUCAUAUGGCAGGUGAAAACCUGAGAAAAAUCCAACCAGGAAGUGGGACAUCUGAGGUUUGUAGUUUUUCAAAGCUUGGCCUACACAUUGAGAUAUAGAUGAGGUUGCACUUCCAAGGGUUUCCACUAGAUGUCAACAGUCUUUAGAAACUGGUUUGAGGAUUCUACUAUAAAGGAGGGGCUCGUGAGACCUCUUUGAGUCAGUGGUCUGGCAGAGAGCCUUGGUCUCAUGACUUGCGCUCCCGACAGAGUUACUUCUCGUUCCAGUGCUUUUCUGAAGACAAAGGAAUUCUCCGGUUGGAACAUUAUUGAUGUUUUAUGUUAAAAACAUCCUAAAGAUUGAUUCCAUAUAUUGUUUGACAUGUUUCUAAAGGACUGUAACGGAACUUUUCGAGUUUUUGUCUGGACGAAAUGCUCGAUCCUCAUAAAGAUGGAUUACUGGGCUGAACACGCUAACAACAAGUGGACAUAUUUGGACAUAAAUGAUGGAACUUUAUGGAACAAAUCAGUCAUUUAUUGUCGAACUGUGAUUCCUGGGAGUGCCUUCUGAUGAAGAUCAUCAUUGUUUCUAACUUUGUUGAUUCCAAAAUGAUGGAAUGACUGUUUCGGGUUCUGAGCACCGUUCUCAGAUUAUGCUUUUUCCGUAAAGUUUUUUAAAAAUCUGACACAGCGGUUGCAUUAAGGAGAAGUCUAUCUUUAAUUCUGUGAAAAACACUUGUAUCUUUUAUCAAUGUUUAUUAUGAGUAUUUCUGCAAAAUCACCUGAUGUUUUGGAAUCAAAACAUUGCUGCACGUAAUGCGCCAAUAUAAACUGAGAUUUUUGGAUAUAAAUAUGCACAUUAUCGAACAAAACAUACAUGUAUUGUGUAACAUGAUUACGUAUGAGUGUCAUCUGAUGAAGAUCAUCAAAGGUUAGUGAUUCAUUUGAUCUAUAUUUCUGCUUUUUGUGACUCCAAUCUUUGGCUGGAAAAUGGCUGUGUUUUUUCGACUUGGCUCUGAACCUGAACUAACAUAAUCAUAUGUUGUGCAUUAGCUGUAAAGCAUUUUUGAAAUGAUGGGUAGAUUAACAUGAUGUUUAUCUUUCAUUUGCUGUAUUGGACUUGUUAAUGUGUGAAAGUUACAUAUUUCAAAAAAAUAUUUUUGAAUUUCGUGCACUGCCUUUUCAGCGGAAUGUUGUCAAGGGGUUCCGCCUGCGCUAGAAAGGUUAACACCGUGCCUACUACAAUUGAGGACAGUGUGACCUCUGGUGGACAACCAGAGACUUACACAACCAGAGACAUUCUGUCGAACUAUUCGUCACAGACGGAUCGAGUGGUUUCAACAGAGAGAUGACAGACAAAGACAUCUUAGUAUAAAUAUAUGUUGCAUUUCUAAAUCUGAAUGAGCGGUUGUUAGGGUGCUAAAUAUCCAUAUUUAUGGUGAGAGUCUUAUUCAACUUUAUGUAUGAUAGUUGAAUUCCUUUGUCUCUCCUCCUUCUGCUCUUUAUUUCCAUACCCCUUUCAUUGUGUAACAAGCCGUCAUAUCGGGUUAGUCCACUAGGGACUUUCCAUUGCAUUAUGUUAGUAAUCAAUUCAACCUAUAUUGUGUCUGUUUAUGUAUUUCUGUAUGAUUAUUGAGCUAGUUAGUAAAUAAAUAAUUAAGCCAAUUUGUGUAUUGCUGAAUCAUAAUUUAGCUUAAGGUUCAUGCAGAUUUAUGAAGUCAACGACGUUCAGAUUGAGACUGAUAUGAAGUAAUAAUAAUUCAUAAUUGACUUGUAUUGAUGUAAGAGAUAUUUAUAUCUUUAAAGUUCAAGUCGGGAGAUAUUAACUCAUUAAAUAACUUUUCCUGUGGUGCCCCAAGAUUGCUA